CAGUUAUAACUUUUCAGUCUGGACAGUAUUAGGAGGCCUUUAAGGGAAGAAUUAAUUAUGUCUGCACAUCUUGAAUCAUGCAUGCAUGUGAUAAUUUAAUUUUUAGGGAGUGGAAAACUGUUUGGAUGGACUGACAUUUGUUAUUAUGCAAAUCUUGGAAAGUAUUGAGAGAGAGGAGGCCGCGGAUUUGAUUCAAAGAUUUGGUGGAAAAGGUACCCAAUCAAUGACCAAGAAAACAAGUGAUUUUAUCACGGGACAGAAUCCUGGGGAGAGUAAACUUUCUAAGGAGAACCAAGUCUGUUAUGGAUAGACAAAUAUCAGCCUCGUGCAGUGAAGCAGAUUAUUGGUCAGCAGGGUUAUAAGAGCAACAUGAGAAAGCUGAUGAACUGGCUGAGAGACUGGG